rnacentral:lncRNA from 1 species
GUUUUGCUGUCCUGUCUAUCUGAAAAAGAGCUUGUUUGACUGAUUUACUUAGCAACUGCUGUAAAGAGGAAAGAUCACCAGUAAAUUCCAUGGACCUGGUAUUCACAACGCCCUAUCAACUUUAUGCGUUACUGACCUCCACAGGCAUUUUAGGGGAAGGCACAGCAGGGAAAGAGUUGAAGUGGGUACUGGACAGCCAGAGGUUCACUGAUGCAGAAGUGGAGCCCUGA